GUUGGUUAGCUUGCUAACCGGCGGACAGCGGCGGAAGGGAGAGUAACGCGUGGUUAUGUGCCCUGAAGACCGGGAUAGUGUUGGGAAACUGGCAGUAAUACCGGAUAAUAUCUUUGGAUCAAAGGUGUGAUUCCGCUUCAGGAUCGGACCGCGUACUAUUAGCUUGUUGGUGGGGUAAUGGCCCACCAAGGCUCAGAUGGUUACCGGGUGUGAGAGCAUGACCCGGCUCACUGGGACUGAGACACUGCCCAGACAUCUACGGAUGGCUGCAGUCGAGAAUCUUCGGCAAUGGACGAAAGUCUGACCGAGCGACGCCGCGUGCGGGAUGAAGGCCCUCGGGUUGUAAACCGCUGUCAGUUAGGAGGAAAUCUAUGAGGGCACUCUCUCAUAGUUGACCGAUUUUCAGAGGAAGGACGGGCUAAGUUCGUGCCAGCAGCCGCGGUAAGACGAACCGUCCAAACGUUAUUCGGUAUCACUGGGCUUAAAGCGUGCGUAGGCGGCUUGAUAGGUGAGAUGUGAAAGCCCACGGCCCAACCGUGGAAUUGCGUUUCAAACCCUCAAGCUCGAGGAAGAUAGGGGUGAUGGGAACUUAUGGUGGAGCGGUGAAAUGCGUUGAUAUCAUAGGGAACACCGGUGGCGAAAGCGCAUCACUGGAUCUUUUCUGACGCUGAGGCACGAAAGCUAGGGUAGCGAACGGGAUUAGAUACCCCGGUAGUCCUAGCCGUAAACGAUGAGCACUGGGUUGAGGGAACUAUCACAUUCUCUCGGCCGUAGCGAAAGCGUUAAGUGCUCCGCC
rnacentral:rRNA from 1 species